ACAUGCAAGUCGAACGGAGAUUUAGCAAUAGGAAUCUUAGUCGGCGAAACGGGUGAGUAACGCGUAGGCAAUCUGCCUUCUAGAUCGGGACAACAUCCCAAAGGGGUGCUAAUACCGAAUGUUGUAACCGACUUCGCAUGAAGUUGCGUACUAAAAGGUGGCCUCUGAAUAUGCUACCGCUAGAAGAUGAGCCUGCGUCUGAUUAGCUAGUUGGAGGGGUAACGGCCCACCAAGGCUUCGAUCAGUAGCCGGUCUGAGAGGAUGAACGGCCACACUGGGACUGAGACACGGCCCAGACUCCUACGGGAGGCAGCAGUGGGAAUCUUCCGCAAUGGACGAAAGUCUGACGGAGCAACGCCGCGUGAGUGAAAGAAGGUUUUCGGAUCGUAAAGCUCUUUCGUCAGGGACGAACGUGUUUCUUGUAAAUAAUGAGAGACAGUGACGGUACCUGAAUAAGAAGCCACGGCUAACUACGUGCCAGCAGCAGC
rnacentral:rRNA from 1 species